rnacentral:rRNA from 1 species
GGAGUUAGCCGGUGCUUCUUCUGUGAGUGAUGUCCUUCCUGCCGGUUAUUGACCCGCAGGCCUUCUUCCUCACUGAAAGUGCUUUACAACCCGAAGGCCUUCUUCACACACGCGGCAUGGCUGGAUCAGGGUUGCCCCCAUUGUCCAAUAUUCCCCACUGCUGCCUCCCGUAGGAGUCUGGGCCGUGUCUCAGUCCCAGUGUGGCUGAUCAUCCUCUCAGACCAGCUACGGAUCGUCGCCUUGGUGAGCCGUUACCUCACCAACCAGCUAAUCCGACAUAGGCUCAUCCGAUAGCGCGAGGCCCGAAGGUCCCCCGCUUUCCCCCGUAGGGCGUAUGCGGUAUUAGCCUGGGUUUCCCCAGGUUAUCCCCCACUACCGGGCAGAUUCCUAUGCAUUACUCACCCGUCCGCCGCUCGCCACCAGGGAGCAAGCUCCCCGUGCUGCCGCUCGACUUGCAUGUGUUAGGCCUGCCGCCAGCGUUCAAUCUGAGCCANAGANAACAACUCUACGACUAGACGGCGGCGUCGACGACGGCGACUAAG